rnacentral:rRNA from 1 species
UCGAGCGGACAGAUGGGAGCUUGCUCCCUGAUGUUAGCGGCGGACGGGUGAGUAACACGUGGGUAACCUGCCUGUAAGACUGGGAUAACUCCGGGAAACCGGGGCUAAUACCGGAUGGUUGUUUGAACCGCAUGGUUCAAACAUAAAAGGUGGCUUCGGCUACCACUUACAGAUGGACCCGCGGCGCAUUAGCUAGUUGGUGAGGUAANGGCUCACCAAGGCAACGAUGCGUAGCCGACCUGAGAGGGUGAUCGGCCACACUGGGACUGAGACACGGCCCAGACUCCUACGGGAGGCAGCAGUAGGGAAUCUUCCGCAAUGGACGAAAGUCUGACGGAGCAACGCCGCGUGAGUGAUGAAGGUUUUCGGAUCGUAAAGCUCUGUUGUUAGGGAAGAACAAGUACCGUUCGAAUAGGGCGGUACCUUGACGGUACCUAACCAGAAAGCCACGGCUAACUACGUGCCAGCAGCCGCGGUAAUACGUAGGUGGCAAGCGUUGUCCGGAAUUAUUGGGCGUAAAGGGCUCGCAGGCGGUUUCUUAAGUCUGAUGUGAAAGCCCCCGGCUCAACCGGGGAGGGUCAUUGGAAACUGGGGAACUUGAGUGCAGAAGAGGAGAGUGGAAUUCCACGUGUAGCGGUGAAAUGCGUAGAGAUGUGGAGGAACACCAGUGGCGAAGGCGACUCUCUGGUCUGUAACUGACGCUGAGGAGCGAAAGCGUGGGGAGCGAACAGGAUUAGAUACCCUGGUAGUCCACGCCGUAAACGAUGAGUGCUAAGUGUUAGGGGGUUUCCGCCCCUUAGUGCUGCAGCUAACGCAUUAAGCACUCCG